UACAGAGGGUGCGAGCGUUGUUCGGAAUUAUUGGGCGUAAAGGGCGCGUAGGCGGCGCGGUAUGUCACCUGUGAAAUCUCCUGGCUCAACUGGGAGCUUGCAGGCGAAACUGCCGUGCUGGAGUGUGGGAGAGGUGCGUGGAAUUCCUGGUGUAGCGGUGAAAUGCGUAGAUAUCAGGAGGAACACCCGUGGCGAAGGCGGCCAGCUGGGAUACACCUGACGCUGGAGACACGAAGGCGUGGGGAGCGAACGGG
rnacentral:rRNA from 1 species